GAUGAACGCUGGCGGCGUGCCUAAUACAUGCAAGUCGAGCGAACAGACGAGGAGCUUGCUCCUCUGACGUUAGCGGCGGACAGGUGAGUAACACGUGGAUAACCUACCUAUAAGACUGGGAUAACUUCGGGAAACCGGAGCUAAUACCGGAUAAUAUAUUGAACCGCAUGGUUCAAUAGUGAAAGACGGUUUUGCUGUCACUUAUAGAUGGAUCCGCGCCGCAUUAGCUAGUUGGUAAGGUAACGGCUUACCAAGGCAACGAUGCGUAGCCGACCUGAGAGGGUGAUCGGCCACACUGGAACUGAGACACGGUCCAGACUCCUACGGGAGGCAGCAGUAGGGAAUCUUCCGCAAUGGGCGAAAGCCUGACGGAGCAACGCCGCGUGAAUGAUGAAGGUCUUCGGAUCGUAAAACUCUGUUAUUAGGGAAGAACAAAUGUGUAAGUAACUAUGCACGUCUUGACGGUACCUAAUCAGAAAGCCACGGCUAACUACGUG
rnacentral:rRNA from 1 species